rnacentral:rRNA from 1 species
CAAUAUGAAGGUCAGGCUGAAGACCUUACCGGAUUAGCUGAGAGGUGGUGCAUGGCCGUCGUCAGUUCGUACUGUGAAGCAUCCUGUUAAGUCAGGCAACGAGCGAGACCCACGUCCACAGUUGCCAGCAUACCCUCCGGGGUGAUGGGUACACUGUGGAGACCGCCGCUGCUAAAGCGGAGGAAGGAAUGGGCAACGGUAGGUCAGUAUGCCCCGAAUCUCCCGGGCUACACGCGGGCUACAAUGGUUGGUACAAUGGGCAUCUACCCCGAAAGGGGAAGGAAAUCUCUUAAAGCCAAUCGUAGUUCGGAUUGAGGGCUGCAACUCGCCCACAUGAAGCUGGAAUCCGUAGUAAUCGCGUUUCAAAAUAGCGCGGUGAAUAUGUCCCUGCUCCUU